rnacentral:rRNA from 1 species
UAUGAACGCUAGCGGCAGGCCUAAUACAUGCAAGUCGAACGGUAAGUAUUUUAGCAAUAGAAUACGAGAGUGACGUACGGGUGCGUAACACGUAUCCAACCUACCCUUUACAGGAGGAUAGCUCGGGGAAACUCGAAUUAACCCUCCAUGAGAUCACAGUGUGGCAUCACACAGUGAUUAAAACUCCGGUGGUAAAGGAUGGGCAUGCGUCUGAUUAGUUAGUUGGCGGGGUAACGGCCCACCAAGACGAUGAUCAGUAGGGGAACUGAGAGGUUGAUCCCCCACACUGGCACUGAGAUACGGGCCAGACUCCUACGGGAGGCAGCAGUAGGGAAUAUUGGUCAAUGGAUGGAAGUCUGAACCAGCCAUGCCGCGUGCAGGAAGAAGGCCUUCUGGGUUGUAAACUGCUUUUGCCAGGGGAUAAAAAGACCAUGCGUGGUUAAUUGAAGGUACCUGGUGAAUAAGCCACGGCUAACUACGUGCCAGCAGCCGCGGUAAUACGGU